CGGGCGUGCCCCGGGCCGCAGGAGGGACGGCCCGCUCGGCCGAUGGCUUCGCCGGGGCGGCCGGGGCCGUCGGUUCUGCGACCGGCACGUCCGGCC
rnacentral:tRNA from 1 species